rnacentral:misc_RNA from 1 species
AACGCACGAGACCUGCGGACCUGCGGAGGGAUCAUUCGUGAAGCAGGCGCUCCGUCGCCCUUCUCUACCCUUCAACCAUGUGGUCUUCUGCCAUUGCCUCGGGGGGGUUUGAGGCGGCCUCGGCCGUCGGGGCCCCUUGCUGGGCCCCGCCCCCCCGCGUGCCCUUGAUAAAGUCUUGGAGUGAUAUUUGCGUCUGAUCUGUCCGGUGGACAUAAUGAAAAUAAAACUUUUAGCAACGGA